AUUGAACGCUGGCGGCAUGCCUUACACAUGCAAGUCGAACGGUAACAGGUCUUCGGAUGCUGACGAGUGGCGAACGGGUGAGUAAUACAUCGGAACGUGCCUAGUAGUGGGGGAUAACUACUCGAAAGAGUGGCUAAUACCGCAUGAGAUCUACGGAUGAAAGCAGGGGAUCGCAAGACCUUGUGCUACUAGAGCGGCCGAUGGCAGAUUGGGUAGUUGGUGGGAUAAAAGCUUACCAAGCCGACGAUCUGUAGCUGGUCUGAGAGGACGAUCAGCAACACGGGGACUGAGACACGGCCCAGACUCCGACGGGAGGCAGCAGUGGGGAAUUUUGGACAAUGGGCGCAAGCCUGAUCCAGCAAUGCCGCGUGCAGGAUGAAGGCCUUCGGGUUGUAAACUGCUUUUGUACGGAACGAAAAGCCCUGGGUUAAUACCCUGGGGUCAUGACGGUACCGUAAGAAUAAGCACCGGCUAACUACGUGCCAGCCGCCGCGGUAA
rnacentral:rRNA from 1 species